AAGGCAAUCCAUAAGACAGCUGCGAACAGCUGACGAUUUUUGUUUACCUUGAUUAUUUGACAGAUUCUGACCGGACUGACAGUACAAUUCAAAGGAAAUUGUUAAGCGCGGUUUACACCAGAAGAACUUUUUUCAAAUAGGCGUAAAGCCUUAAACACAAUGUCAGCAGAACGGAAACGGAAACGACAAAUUUGACAGCGGAGUAACAAGAAUGCAACCAUCAUUAUCACCUAACAUAAUUCCCAUUGAGCGUGGUGGUGGAAACUCCGAGGUGAAAUCAACUAGGCAAAAUAGGAAUUUUGGAGCUCCUUCAAAUGAAAGCUUUGUCCGCUAAUAACCAUUCCGCAGAGGCCGCAGUUUCAGAUACCAUCUGGGCAAUUGAACAAUUGGGCUAGCAAGCUGCACCGACGUUCAAAAUCAAUACCGACUUCCUGGUUUCCGAGCUAUUCCAAUCAUCCGAAGACAAUAGCAAUGAAAUGCGCGUGCAAGGAAGCAAUGUUGAAUAAGGAGUUUAGUGAUUCGCCACCCAUGGCAUCAUCCGCACCGUUUACAAUGGAGUUUACUAGUGGGCCAGCUGGGAACGCCACCGCCUUGGUAUACUGUUUCUUCGAAUGUGAGAUCAGAUCCAUGCUUUCUAGGGAACUUAGGAAUAAUUACCCUGCAGCUCAGUACUAUAUUAUGAAAAACCACCUCAUGCACAUAAUACAUCCCCAAACCACCCCAAACCUUCCACCGUCAUCGUUUAUCCAGUACAAGGGCAAUCUGAGAAGACUUCCAGUCGGCCCGCAGCAGUCACGCGAGCUUGUUAAUACUGGCAUGGUGGCCAUAUAGCUCAUUAAUACCGGUAUGUUUCUUCCAUCGACGUUGUUUUCUACCACGGCCAGCCGGCAUCUCAAAUAUCUGCUCAAUGCUCAUGCCUUUCGGAGUUUUGGUCCAGUAAUCGUCACUAGCAGCAACCAACUCUGGAAGAGUUUGCCUCAAUCGAACCAGAAGCAGCAUCUCCUACUGUCAGAUGAGAAGUUGCAGAGGAACCGGUGA